GACGAACGCUGGCGGCGUGCUUAACACAUGCAAGUCGAACGGAAAGGCCCGGCUUUUGUGGGGUUCUCGUGUGGCGAACAGGUGAGUAACACGUGAGUAACCUGCCCUUGUCUUUGGGAUAACUUCAGGAAACUGGGGCGAAUACCGGAUAGGAGCUCCUGCUGCAUGGUGGUGGUUGGAAAGUUUCGGCUGUUGUGGCUGGACUCGCGGCUUAUCAGCUUGAUGGUGAGGUAGGUGCUGACCAAGGCUUUGACGGGUAGCCGGCCUGAGAGGGUUACCGGCCACAAUGGGACUGAGAUACGGAGCAGACUCCUACGGGAGGCAGCAGUGGGGAACCUUGCACAACGAGGGGAAGCGUGUUGCAGAAAUGUUCCGUGCGGGAUGACGGGCUUCGAGUUGUAAACAGAUUUCGAAUGUGACGAAGAGUGAGUGACGGUAAUGAGUCAAGAAGCACCGGCUAACUACGUG
rnacentral:rRNA from 1 species